GGCUACCUUGUUACGACUUCACCCCAGUCAUGAAUCACAAAGUGGUAAGCGCCCUCCCGAAGGUUAAGCUACCUACUUCUUUUGCAACCCACUCCCAUGGUGUGACGGGCGGUGUGUACAAGGCCCGGGAACGUAUUCACCGCAACAUUCUGAUUUGCGAUUACUAGCGAUUCCGACUUCACGCAGUCGAGUUGCAGACUGCGAUCCGGACUACGAUAUGCUUUAAGAGAUCCGCUCACUGUCGCCAGCUUGCCUCCCUCUGUACAUACCAUUGUAGCACGUGUGUAGCCCUACUCGUAAGGGCCAUGAUGACUUGACGUCGUCCCCACCUUCCUCCGGUUUAUCACCGGCAGUCUCCCUAGAGUUCCCACCAUUACGUGCUGGCAACUAAGGAUAAGGGUUGCGCUCGUUGCGGGACUUAGCCCAACAUUUCACAACACGAGCUGACGACAGCCAUGCAGCACCUGUCUUAGCGUUCCCGAAGGCACAACCGCAUCUCUGCAGUCUUCGCUAGAUGUCAAGAGUAGGUAA
rnacentral:rRNA from 1 species